rfam:Glossina pallidipes unplaced genomic scaffold Scaffold142, whole genome shotgun sequence.
UACCGUAUGGUCUAGUGGUUAGGACGUUCGACACUCAGUCGAAAGACUCAGGUUCGAUUCCUGAUACGACAU